rnacentral:rRNA from 1 species
UACGUAGGGUGCAAGCGUUGUCCGGAAUUAUUGGGCGUAAAGGGCUCGUAGGCGGUUUGUCGCGUCGGGAGUGAAAUCCACUGGCUUAACUGGUGGCUUGCUUUCGAUACGGGCAGACUGGAGGUAUGCAGGGGAGAACGGAAUUCCUGGUGUAGCGGUGAAAUGCGCAGAUAUCAGGAGGAACACCCGUGGCGAAAGCGGCUCUCUGGGACGGUACUGACGCUGAGACGCGAAAGCGUGGGGAGCAAACAGG